GAUUAAAUCUGUCCAUAUUCAAGCAGAAUACAAAGAUAGAUAGCUUAUGGAAAAUGCUGUGAGGUCUUGAGCUGUGGAAUAAUAAUAUAUCUAUCUUGUUUGUUUCCUAAGCCUGUGGCUGUUGCAGGCAUUUUAGAACUUCCCCCUUUUCCUGUCCCUGAAAAAUUUCAUCUCAUCACAAUGAAUGUAGUAUCUUAACUGAGUUAAAGGAAGAGAAGCCACCUAAAUUGGGCUUGACUAUAUAGAGCAUUGGGUGUUGUGAGAUGCAAAAGAGGAAAACAGACAGGGUGAUCCAUUUAUCUAAACACCAAGAAGGGAUCUCAGACUUUGGAACUUGAAGCAACUCAGAUUAGGAGGGAAAACUUUUCCCAUCCUUUCUCCCAAACCAAAAGUAAAUAAAUAAAUAAACCCUUGGCCGCCCCUUUGUAAAGUGGUUCCAAGCUUGUCUAAGACAGGAUGCCAAAGGCAUCUCACCUGUUGUAGGCACACUAAAAAGCUUUUAUCUUCCAGUUAGCCAAGUUCUUAGCAUUUUCAAAGGACCAGGCUUCUUGAGAGGAAAGAUUGUAAUGUACCCUUGCUCUGCCAAACUACAGGGCUGAUUUGCAUGGCAGUUGCAGUCCUUUCUGAAAUGAACAGCACCCUCUCUUCUCUUGCAUCCAUGCAGGUUUCUUUUUCUUUUUUCUAUAUUUUUUUUCUGGACAAGGUCCCACACUGUAGUUCUCUCUAGCCUGGAACUUACCAUGUAGACCACGAUGGCUUCUAACUAACAGAGAUCCACCUGCCUCUGCCUCCAAGCAAGCCCAGCCUAAAUGUUGGAAACACUAGGGAAGAGCUUGGUGUCAGGAAAACAUUGCAACAGGCUCAUCUUGACCAGGUUCAACAUUUCCUUAAUCAUCUAUAUGAAACAGUUUCUUUAAAAUUCUCCAUCAGGCCCGGUGUGGAGGUAUGUGCCUUUUAUCUCAACACUCAGAAGGAAGAGGCAAUUGGAGUUAUAUGAGUGUGAGACCAGCCUGUUCUACAUAGUGAGUUCUAGGCCACUAGGGCUACAUAGCAAGAUAGACCUUGUUUUAAAUUUUUUUCUGUAUUGGAAUAUGAAAUAUUUUGGGGAUCGAUAUGUUGAUCAAAGUUAGAACUUUUUAAAUCUUCUGCCCAUGUCCCUCUUCUCACCUCAAAGCCAUCUUCACAUCUACUAAGUGAAGAUAUCAAUAGGGCUCUUGCUCAAAAUAAGGCAAUUUACCUUGAGAACAGAUGCUGGUGGCCUUCUGAGUCAAGAUUGCUUUGUAGACAUACUUUCUUUGCCAGGGCAUAUAUUCAUAAUAUUUUUCACAGUUUCUAAGCUUGGGAUUGGCCCUGUGCCUUUCCCCCAAAAGAGCAGAUUUGAUUGGUAAAAUCUAACCCCUUGUAAGUAACUUCAUAACUUUGCAUGGCACCAGCACUAGAACCACCCCUCAAGGACCUCAGAUCAGCUCUCUUGGAUGACUUUGGCUACAUCACGAAGAAGUGCAUCUCUUGUGGAUCUGGAUAAUGAAAGUGAAAAAGGCCUUCCUUACCCCAACCACAUCGUCAUAAGAGACACAUGCCCAGAUUUUAACCACUUGGCCUCCUACCAAAGCUGUUCUGGGAAGGUGAGGCUGAACUUAGCCUGGUUGGGUGGCAGGAAGUAAGCACUCAAUGCCUUUACAACAGGAAAAGCCACACCUCUUGCCUAGUCAAGGUAGCUUGAGUUGCUGUUUACAUGUCGCUGCCAUCUACAGCAGGCACUAGAGCUGUCCACAGCCUCCAUAGCCCACUGGAGAAGGGCUACCAGCCUGUUUGGAAGAGGAAGAAGGAAUCUACCCUCACAGUUCAGGAGGACAGCACAGUGCAAUAUCUCUGAAGGGACCUGCUAUAACUUGGAUAUAUUUUGCUAUGCUUUGAAACUUCAUACCUUAGAGUAGGACCUGAGGCAAAGUAGAAGUUUGUGGAUUGGGUAACAUCAUUGCCUUCCAAGUCCUUUCACUGAUCUGGCUGCUAGCCUAGGGACAAAAUAUUUACAACCUAAAAUGGGAUAGCCAAGAUGUCUACAGAAGCAGACUCCUUUUGAGUAUCUAAAGCAAAUACUAACUGCAGCCUAGAAGGGGAAAGAAGAUUUGGCUGCGGAUAUAUGGUAAUGGCAACAUGAUUACCAAUGGGAUAUGUAACCAAUCUCUAGGUAUCUGUCCAAACAUGGACAAGUACUUCCUUUGCUGGCACCAAAUAUGCUACAAACUACCAGAAGUGCUGCUAUUGUGUUCACCCUAAGGCUGUGGCCAGAUGAACCUCCUGACUCCAUUGCAGGUCCUUGGACAAUGCAUUUGGAUGUGACUUUAAGGGAAGAUGUGCUGACAGAAGGAGGCUAGCUUUAUGUUGUUACCCAGUACUACUAUAUAGUGUCAGCUCUGAUCCUGAGAAUUUCUUAGUAACCCAGUCCAUAGAGGACCAGUGACUGUGGGUAUGGAAAGCCACCUAGCAGGCCUCUUCCAAAGCCAGGAUGCCAAUUUCUUGGUGCUUUAGAUUCUCCAAGGAAGCUCUGCCUUGGGGAUCAUCUGGCUUUAGCUUAGAUACCAGACCACAAGCCUCGUGGAUAAUGGUUUCAGUAAAUGCCAGUGUCCCUCCUCUUAGUGCUAUUUCAAGGAGGGAAGUAGCUUUCCACACUCAGAAUGUUGGGUGCAUGAUUUCAUCCUGCCACCAGUGGCUUUUUCACCUGCACCAGUGCCACCACUGCCUUCAGCCCUUAGGCUCACUUGCUAGAGGGAGGCAUGGGGGUUUACCAGGGAUACUUCAAGUUUACCCAUGUGUAUGUUGCAUCCAAGUUGUUUUUAAUAUAUAUAUAUAAAUAUAUAUAUCAAAAGCUAAUUAUCUAUUUUUAUAUUGUUUGCAUUUUAUAUUCAUGGAAACAAUGUUUAUCAAUUGUUCUUUUCUGAUAUAUUUUAUUUUUAAGCGGUGCUGUUUACAGUUUU
rnacentral:lncRNA from 1 species